rnacentral:rRNA from 1 species
UACGGGGGGGGCAAGCGUUGUUCGGAAUUACUGGGCGUAAAGGGCGCGUAGGCGGCUUUUCAAGUCGGGCGUGAAAUCUCCGGGCUUAACCUGGAAGGGUCGUUCGAUACUGUCGAGCUUGAGUCCGGAAGAGGCGAGUGGAAUUCCUGGUGUAGCGGUGAAAUGCGCAGAUAUCAGGAGGAACACCAAUGGCGAAGGCAGCUCGCUGGGACGGUACUGACGCUGAGACGCGAAAGCGUGGGGAGCAAACAGG